CCUACGGGGGGCAGCAGUAGGGAAUCUUCGGCAAUGGGGGCAACCCUGACCGAGCAACGCCGCGUGAGUGAAGAAGGUUUUCGGAUCGUAAAGCUCUGUUGUAAGAGAAGAACGAGUGUGAGAGUGGAAAGUUCACACUGUGACGGUAACUUACCAGAAAGGGACGGCUAACUACGUGCCAGCAGCCGCGGUAAUACGUAGGUCCCGAGCGUUAUCCGGAUUUAUUGGGCGUAAAGCGAGCGCAGGCGGUUAGAUAAGUCUGAAGUUAAAGGCUGUGGCUUAACCAUAGUACGCUUUGGAAACUGUUUAACUUGAGUGCAGAAGGGGAGAGUGGAAUUCCAUGUGUAGCGGUGAAAUGCGUAGAUAUAUGGAGGAACACCGGUGGCGAAAGCGGCUCUCUGGUCUGUAACUGACGCUGAGGCUCGAAAGCGUGGGGAGCAAACAGGAUUAGAUACCCGGGUAGUC
rnacentral:rRNA from 1 species